rnacentral:rRNA from 1 species
UACAGAGGGGGCAAGCGUUGUUCGGAAUUACUGGGCGUAAAGGGCGCGUAGGCGGCCCGCUAAGUCGAACGUGAAAUCCCCGGGCUCAACUCGGGAACUGCGUCCGAUACUGGUGGGCUUGAAUCCGGGAGAGGGAUGCGGAAUUCCAGGUGUAGCGGUGAAAUGCGUAGAUAUCUGGAGGAACACCGGUGGCGAAGGCGGCAUCCUGGACCGGCAUUGACGCUGAGGCGCGAAAGCUAGGGGAGCAAACGGG